AGUUUCCGGGAAGUCCAUACAGAAAUACCUGGAACUCGACCCCCGAAUCCUUCCUGUCGGCACUUCUGCUGGCAGCGUGCCCCAGACAGAAUCCAGGCAGAACAGAUCCUUAAAGAAGACAUCAGUGGAAGCUCAGAAGAAGAGAGAAGUUAGAAGCCAAAAGGUGGCAGUCCCCAGAGAGACCCCCUCCACCCAGCAUUGUGCCGGAGAAGCUGCCUGGCGCAUCCGCCGUAAGAGAGGACGCGUGGCCUUCUCUCCGUGGUCCUGCAGUGGUAUUGAGAGGAGCCCCGGUGGAGAGGCUGAGGAGCCUCACUCACAUCUGGACUUGAUCAGGUGGUGAGGUCCUGGACUCAAAACCAUGCCGAGGUUCCGGAGGGAGCAGAAAUUUGUCCAGAGCAACGUCCAGCCUGGGCCUGGGCCACAGGAGACAUGAAGGAGCACAAGCAAUCUGCCAUCUGAGUUUGGCCCAGAGGAUUUUUAGCUAACUUCUAGAGUGGCGAGAGCCACAGGGACACGGAGAGGACUCUGGUCAUGGGACAGCUGCCUCUAUCUGCAGGGCUAGGGCAUCUCCCAGAGUUUGGAGAUUUCCAGCCCACCUUACAGCUGCUAGGACUCUCACCUGUCAUCCCGGGGAAAGGCCCGCCUCCCGCACAGUGUGGGAUGCAGCUGGUCACUAGCUCUAGAGUGCUUCCCGGCUUCCAGCAGCAGCUCCCUGGUUGCGAAGGGAAAGCUCAGACCAGGAGGCUGCAGAUGUUUCUGGACCUAAGGGACACAGAGCCAUGUCUACUGGUAGUUCCUGAGGAAAGUGCACGGGAGAAAAAUGAGCUCAAGUACCGAAAAUGACUCAGUGUGGUUGAUUCAACUACUUUGCAGUUAUAAAAGCCAGGUGUAAGCGACUGCAAUUAUAACUCCCCCAGACGGCAGUUCCACAUACAUGGCUGUGCACUCUCAAGUUUGUUUGUGUCUUUAUUGCCCGGUUUUCGCUAGGCUAAGAGCAUGAGCAGACAGACAGUUCCGCAGGGUUUUAACUUAAAUGAAGGCUCGCUGCAGAUACGGAGCUUCCGGAGGCUGGGUACAAGUCACGGCGGCACGCACGAUACACACAAAGCAGUGCUACCCGACAACUGAAAGAAUAGCUUACGAAAUGGCCCUGCUAACUGCCAUCCCUCCUCUCCGCCUCCUUCUCCCUCCAGCAGCAUGAUCGUGAUGCUGUACAUUGCAGGGUUGCUGCACUCCUCACGUGAACCUGUGGCCUAGUGACUUAUCCCUGAGGCACGCUAUAAUCACUGAGAAAUGUGCUCCCUGUCACGUCUUAUUGCUUAAUUAUGGCUCUAUUUUAGGCUCCUAGAGCCAUUUGGCUUGGCAAGACCUCUCUUAUGUGUGACUUUGAACAUGCAUCCACGUUGAGUUAUCCUUGAGUUCACACCCAUCUGUUCCAUUUCCAUCUUGUUCUGGCUUGGGCAGUAAUUAUUGCCCCUUGGUUCAGCAACGCCUUGAAUCAUGGCAAUGAGCCCUUACAAUUACGGUAGGCUGCACCUAAGAAGAUACUAUCAAUCCUUUGUCAGAAAGGCAUGUUCUUCAAGUUAAUUUUCCCAAUAUUUGAAGUUUGUUUUUUGUUUGUUUUUUCCCUGAUAAAUCCCGGUGGGCCCACUGUUUCAAAUCAGUGACGUGCAAAAACUUCCCCAUUUUCCAAUUGACUCUUGCUCUGGUGACUACGUUUUUUUUAAAACUCAAAAUCUGGACAUAUUGUCUAACAGAGGUUUUGUUGUUGUUGUUUUGGUUGAGUGUGUUGUCCCCCGGGGCUAACAGCAAACUGGAAGACCUGGCAGGUCCUAGGUACAGUCUUAGAUUGCAAACCAACUGGGCAGAAUAUUUACAAUUAAAAGUGUUGGAAAAUUUCGGGACUUCCGGAGGAUGUGUCCAUAUUCAGUGUUCCUACCGUUUAUUCUGUCCCUUCACUAAUAAAGCAUUUGUUUUAAGAGUGUCAAUCUUAGUCCUUCAAGUAGACUAGAAGCUUCUUAGAGACAAAAGGCACAGAUCCUACCCACCUCUUCCAGAGCUCUGUCCAUGUAUGUCGCUAUAUCCCGUUGUUUGAUCAAUUGCACAGGGAUGAUGUUGCAUUUUUAAGACAGCUGUUUGGGAUUAGGAGCUUGCAAAAGUGGCCUGACACUGAGGUGAAGGCAGACUGGAAAUCAGUGUCCCGCUUCCUCCCUCCAGAGAGUAGUUCAAGUCGGGCCUGGGGUAGAUCUAUGUUGUGAAGGGGUAUAAUUACCCUGGUCCAGAGCGGCCCCGGGUCUUGUCUGGCAGACUGAGUUAUAUCUAUCAGGGCCUUUUGAAACGCUGACUUGGCUCCUUAGAAAUACAAAACCCAAAACAUCAUUUGUAAAGGUCACGGGGAAUGGCCCGGGUCAGAAUAACUGGAGUCCGCUUUGUGCCAGUGCCUCAGAAGAGGAAGUUGCUGAACGCCGAGAUAAAGCUCCUGGAGCGCGCCGUGUUGCCAGAGACAAACAAAGAGCAGGAGCGGUUUGCAGCUGAGUCUUUACUCUGCAAUUCAAAUGCCAGUCCAGCAAUGAAACUGGCUCUAGGAAUUCCAGUCAGAUUUUUAUCAUCUGACUUGGAAACCAGCUGUGCUCUUAGUGAGCACGAAGAUUUACUACCUGCAAUUGCUAUAAUUCAGUCAGCAGAAUUAUGCAGAGGUGAAAAAUUUGAGAAAAACUCCUUAUUUUAAAUGCAACACAAACUGUGUUUGAAGAAAUCCUACUUCUCUGACACUGAUAAAAAUGGCUCUGAUUUCAAGAAAGGGGCAGGGAGUCCAAGUAGAGGAACUCUUACGCUUGGGAAUUCAGUUUAUUCUGCAUAUUCUUCAGAGUAUGCUUUUUAAAAGUCCCGAGUAAAACUUACUACAAUUUGGUAAAGAGCAUCUUUUAUGCAGAGCAGGUGAGAAAACAUAAAGUAGUUAACUCCACAAUUACGGAGCACAUCGAGAGCCCUGCCAACCUCACUGUCCAGCGCCCUGAGAACUGGAAGAGAACGGAAUUUAACUCUAAGGACAGCUCUGCAAAGUGGCCCAAUAAACUCAUGGCCGCCAUUCUGAACCAAUAAUUUCCUUCGCAGAAACUAACAAUUACUGUGGAUUUGUGAGCCCAUAUAUCAAAAGUCCCUUGAAUGUAUUUUACGAUUUUGAAAGCCAUCAGGGCUGUCCUGGAGAAGCCAGUGCAUAUGGUGCUCAUACCAUGGGAGCCCCAUGUCUCCUUCAUUGGCCCGCGCCCCUCACACGUGGGCUACAGCUGCCUUGCACACCGCUGAUGCAACAGAACUCCGUCACUUAUAUCAUCACCUGAACCCUCGGGUACCACCCCGGGAAAGCCAAGCAAGGUAAGUUUUCCAGAAUAAUGAUUUCAGUGGCCCACGGACCAACCGAUGUGAAAGCAUUUCCCACGCGCAAACACAACCCCUGCAUGGGUUCUACAGCAACAUUUUCAAGAGGGAAGAUACAUCAGGAGUUUAGAACUGCACUUGUUGUUUGUUGAUUUAUUAAUGAUGGCCAUUCUGACAGGUGUGAGGUA